UUAAGCAUAUCAAUAAGCGGAGGAAAAGAAACUAACAAGGAUUCCCCUAGUAACUGCGAGUGAAGCGGGAAAAGCUCAAAUUUAAAAUCUGGUGGUCUUUGGCCAUCCGAGUUGUAGUCUGGAGAAGUGCUUUCCGCGUUGGACCGUGUACAAGUCUCUUGGAACAGAGCGUCAUAGAGGGUGAGAAUCCCGUCUUUGACACGGACUACCAAUGCUUUGUGAUGCGCUCUCAAAGAGUCGAGUUGUUUGGGAAUGCAGCUCAAAAUGGGUGGUAAAUUCCAUCUAAAGCUAAAUAUUGGCGAGAGACCGAUAGCGAACAAGUACCGUGAGGGAAAGAUGAAAAGCACUUUGGAAAGAGAGUUAAACAGUACGUGAAAUUGCUGAAAGGGAAACGCUUGAAGUCAGUCGCGUUGGCCGGAACUCAGCCUUGCUUUUGCUAGGUGCACUUUCUGGUUGACGGGCCAGCAUCAAUUUUGAUUGUUGGAUAAAGGUUGGGGGAAUGUGGCACCUUCGGGUGUGUUAUAGCCCUCAGUCACAUACAACAGUUGGGAUUGAGGAUCUCAGCACGCCUUUAUGGCCGGGGUUCGCCCACGUUCGUGCUUAGGAUGCUGGCAUAAUGGCUUUAAACGACCCGUCUUGAAACACGGACCAAGGAGUCUAACAUGCCUGCGAGUGUUUGGGUGGAAAACCCGAGCGCGUAAUGAAAGUGAAAGUUGGGAUCUCUGUCAUGGAGAGCACCGACGCCCGGACCUGACCUUCUGUGACGGCUCCGCGGUAGAGCAUGUAUGUUGGGACCCGAAAGAUGGUGAACUAUGCCUGAAUAGGGUGAAGCCAGAGGAAACUCUGGUGGAGGCUCGUAGCGAUUCUGACGUGCAAAUCGAUCGUCAAAUUUGGGUAUAGGGGCGAAAGACUAAUCGAACCAUCUAGUAGCUGGUUCCUGCC
rnacentral:rRNA from 1 species